UGAAACUGCAGAUUUGUAAUUUCACAAAUUUUAUUAAUUAUGGCAACACCGCUUUACGUAACGAUAAAUGAGGCAACAGAACUACUUGCUUAACUAAGAACUACCAAAUUAUCAAAAUCCCAAAAACAUUGAGGUUACGUUGAUGCAAUAUCAAUAAUUUUAUUUAUUUUCAGUACCUUUGUAGACAGGUAAAACUAAGAUUAAAAUUCAGACGAAAAAAUGAUCCUGUGCAACAAAUAGAACGGCACUUUGGGUGUGUCAUUUGUGAGUUGAGACAGUGAAGACCUUACGGAAGCCUUAAAAGGUUUCGUGUGAAAAAUGGAUAAAUAUGAAGUCGUAGGCCUAUUAGGUGAAGGUUCUUUUGGACGCGUUUACAAAGCGACCAAAGCUGGAACAUCGAGUGUUGUCGCCCUAAAAGUUAUUACAAAGCGAGGGAAAUCUUUGAAAGAAAUAAAGGGUUUGCGACAAGAAUGCGAAAUACAAAGAGGCCUGCAUCAUCCCAACAUAAUACAGAUGCUAGAUUCCUUCGAGACCGACAACGAGAUUGUGGUAAUUACGGAGUUUGCGCAUAAGGAGCUGACUGUAGUUUUAAGUAAAGAAGGGUAUUUACCGGAAGAGCGUGCGCAAAGAAUUGUGUGGGAUUUGGUGUCGGCACUGUAUUAUCUACACUCGCAUCGAGUUUUACACAGAGACUUAAAGCCGCAGAAUAUUUUGCUUGAUCAAAAAAAUAAUGCAAAAUUAUGCGAUUUUGGGUUCGCACGUAAUAUGAGCACUGGUACUCAUGUUCUGACUUCGAUUAAAGGAACACCCCUGUAUAUGGCACCGGAGCUUGUGGAGGAACAUCCGUACGAUCAUAAUGCAGACCUUUGGUCGCUGGGCUGCAUUAUUUACGAGUUAUUGGUUGGAACGCCUCCAUUCUGUACCACGUCUCUUUUGCAUCUGAUUAAAAUGAUUAGACAUGACCAAGUGCAGUUUCCUAGUUUCCUUUCGGAACUUUGUAUAUCUUUUCUCAAGGGUUUACUUCAGAAAGAUCCAGGAAAACGUGUAGCAUGGCCAGAUCUUUUGAAACAUCCAUUUGUAAAGGGCCACGUCCUGGUUCUUGACGACGUACCAUCGAAACCUUUAACAAGGCCGAUGUCGAUUGAUACACUACAAGCGAAGGAGCAGCAGCGUAAGGAUUGUUUAAAUCAGCGAGCGCUAAAGAAUUCCCCACAAUGCCACAAAGUGGUCUCUAUGUCCACAUCUUCGUUUGAUAUUGAGAACAACAAUUCCAGUUUAGACGAGCAGCUUUCCAUGUUGAACAUCGAUAGCGACAUUGGAGCAAGGAGCUGUUUACAAUCCAGUGCCAAUUCAGACUCUGAAACCCACGUUGACAACGGCCACUUGCAUUUCUACGAAAACACGAAUCCGAUUGAAAACGACGAAUGGGUUGUGUUUCUGUUACGUACAAUAGAAGAGGUCAUUGCAGGCGAGAUGACCUCGCUCAGUCAAAAAAGUCUGGCUAGCAUUAUCAUAUCGCCUUUAUCAAAUUCGAAUGUCAGCUCAAAAGUCCUCGGUUAUGUCGCCAAUUUACUAUCGUUACCGUUUGUUGUCACGGACACGUCAGAGGGCGCUCUGGAACAGAUAAAGAAUAUAUAUUUCGAUGUUAAAGUCGUGCCAAAUUUGGUAUACGCGACGAAACUGAUGUUUCAAUACAAAUGCUCGACUAACUUAUCAACUUCGUCUACUGCAUUUGCAGCGAUCGACUCUGAAACACAGCACUUUAUAGCCGAAUUAUCGGAUGAUGACUCUGAAGCACUACAGCAUAUUUUUUUGUUGAUCUGUCACCUUGUUCAUCUUCGAUCGGAGUUCUUGAAGCACUUUUGUGAUGCCGUAGCUACACUUAAUGUAUACAAUAUUUUGCGUGACAUGCUAUCGUUGUCAAAACAGAGAGUGCGAUUAGUAAUUGACCUAUUGGCGAUUUUGACACACAUCCUUAGAACGUUACCGGAUCGUACAGAUGUCAUUACCAAGAUUCUAAAUACUGAUAACAGCGAGUUUAAUGUUGUCCACUUACUUAAGAGCUCAAACCCUUUACUCAGGGAACGAACCUGUUAUUUUGUACAAAAUUUGGGGAAAAAAUGCUCUGAAGUUCUUAAAAGUGAAUGGACGGAAUCCGUACGUGACAUACUUGAGACUUUGAUUUACGACUCCAUCGAGGAUGUUAGAAAUGCAGCCGAAGUGACUGUUCAAGAUCUGAAAAAGUUACCAUUUUAUCAGUGAUGAAGUGGUUAGAGCAGCUAGUGGAAACGAAUUGUAAAUACUUUUGCUGUCGUUACGCUCUGAAUUGUGAAGAGUGUAAGCCAGAUUGAAGAGAUUGUUCCUUAGGGAUAACUUCUCUUUUGGCUUUUAACCUAUAUCCAGCGUGGUGCCCAUCAAAGUGCAUGCAAAAUAAUUGUAAAUCACAAGUUUCUUUUAGUAACAAAGACAUUCUUGUGACUGUAAUAAGUUGAAAAAUAAAUUAACUUGAUCUCA